UUCUGUUUGUUCCAUCUCCCCCCCCCUUCCCCGCUUCCUUUUGCUACAGCUGCUUUCCUUUCCUUCUCCUCCCCACAGUCCUCCAGAAAUGCUCGCCUCAGCCUGGGAAAGCCAAGAGAAGCACUGCGGAAGAAGGCGGCAGGCCUGCCGAGUGGGAGACCUUCACGGCUCCCACCCAAGGUGAAAAAAUUCUGUCUCUGGCUGCCCACCCUGCAGCUCCCCGUGGAGGGAAGCGUGCCGCUUGAACUGGAAAACCACCACAGGGAAGAAUAAGAAAAGCCGAGGGUGAAAAAGAAUUCAGGACUGGUUGUUUUUCUCAAAGGAUUUGCAAUCUUCAGACAAGAAGAGGCGUGACAGAAGAGAACAAAGGAAGUGAAAAGGACCUGAUGAAGUUUAAAGUCCUGCUUCCUAACCAUGAGGACUAGUAUCACACUUGUCAUUUUAAAAGAAACAAAAUGAAAGCAUGGCUUCUUAAGACUUCUGUGGGAGUGGGGAUAGAAAAGGGGAUAUACAUGUCUGAAUUUAACAAGAAAAAUCCUUAUUCUCUA